AGUGAACGCUGGCGGUAGGCCUAACACAUGCAAGUCGAACGGCAGCACAGUAAGAGCUUGCUCUUACGGGUGGCGAGUGGCGGACGGGUGAGGAAUACAUCGGAAUCUACUUUUUCGUGGGGGAUAACGUAGGGAAACUUACGCUAAUACCGCAUACGACCUACGGGUGAAAGCAGGGGAUCUUCUGACCUUGCGCGAUUGAAUGAGCCGAUGUCGGAUUAGCUAGUUGGCGGGUUAAAGGCCCACCAAGGCGACGAUCCGUAGCUUGUCUGAGAGGAUGAUCAGCCACACUGGAACUGAGACACGGUCCAGACUCCUACGGGAGGCAGCAGUGGGGAAUAUUGGACAAUGGGCGCAAGCCUGAUCCAGCCAGACGGCGUGGGUGAAGAAGGCCUUCGGGUUGUAAAGCCCUCUUGUUGGGAAAGAAAAGCAGUAGGUUAAGACCCCGCUGUUCUGACGGUACCCAAAGAAUAAGCACCGGCUAACUUCGUG
rnacentral:rRNA from 1 species